GUAGGUGGCAAGCGUUGUCCGGAAUUAUUGGGCGUAAAGGCGCGCGCAGGCGGGUUCUUUAAGUCUGAUGUGAAAGCCCACGGGCUCAACCGUGGAGGGUCAUUGGAAACUGGAGAACUUGAGUACAGAAGAGGAAAGCGGAAUUCCACGUGUAGCGGUGAAAUGCGUAGAGAUGUGGAGGAACACAGUGGCGAAGGCGGCUUUCUGGUCUGUAACCGACGCUGAGGCGCGAAAGCGUGGGGAGCAAACAGGAUUAGAUACCCUGGUAGUCCACGCCGUAAACGAUGAGUGCUAAGUGUUAGGGGGUUUCCGCCCCUUAGUGCUGCAGCUAACGCAUUAAGCACUCCGCCUGGGGAGUACGGCCGCAAGGCUG
rnacentral:rRNA from 1 species